rnacentral:misc_RNA from 1 species
CGGCGCGAGUCGAUGAGGACGGAUACGGGUUGUGAUUGCAUGAUUUUGUUCCAAGUCUCAAGAACUGGCUGGGCGCGCAAGCGUUUGGUCAGAUGCUUUGAACUUAUGAACGGCACAAGCACGAAUGAACAGCACCUAUAAGACUUUAGUGUUAUAG